GGGGGUGAACGGUCUCGACUUUGGAUGUUGAGACAGGGGAAGCGGGCCGAGGAAGCCGGAAUGAUCUCGUAAACCAAUAAUCCGUGCAAAAAUAACUGCUGACAACAAUCAGCAAGCUUUCGAACUCGCUGCAUAAGCAUUUCGAAGCCGUUAGCCCAGGUGCCGCUCUCGACCUGGAACCUAGCGUCGCUAGAGGGCUUUUCAAUUCGUUGGUGUUGCAAACAACGAUAGAGAACAGUUUUGCAACUGAGUUCGUCGAAGAGUCGUGUGGAGAAACUUCGGGACUGAGAAAGCGUUAAUCACACUACGCCCGUAGAAGCCCUGUUUUUGCACCGAAGGACCCGGGUUCGAUUCCCGGCACCUCCAC
rnacentral:tmRNA from 1 species